rnacentral:lncRNA from 1 species
CUUUUCAGUUCUGUCUUCCUGAGGCUGCUGUUUCUGGGCAUGGCCAGGGGAUCUUCAGACUUUACAAACCAGUUGUGCAGAGCCAGGCAUUUCAAUAAGGAACAAAAUGCUGAGUAACAACAUGAAGUCAGAGUGUUGCUUGCCAAGAGCUGGGAGGCCUGGGUGGUUUCCCAAUCUUAAAGAAGCAGAAGGAUAUUAAAGUGAGCCUCCCAAAGGAAAACGUGGAUCUACUUACCAACGCAGAAAAUGAUACACACGGAUUCGAUUUAGUCAUGUGCCUGGGAAAGAUUGAUGCCAGCUCCAGAAAGGCAUCCGAAUGGUCUAAAAUUCUGGAGGAAAGUGGCUCUGGGAAUUGAACAGUGGCUCAGUGAUGUUGGGGCCACCAAGUCUGCAAUUCUCCCUACCUGUUCUUCAUGGUUGUAAGAUGACUGCUGCAAUUCUCGGCAUCAUGUGCAUGUUAAUGUCAGGAGGAAGAAAGGAAGAGGGAGCACUGGGAUGUUACAUUCAUUUUGUCAGGAAAAGCAAAGCCUUUCCAGACAGCUCCGAAACUUGCUUACCUCUCAUUGGCCAGCACCAUCACUUGACCACUUGUCCACUCCUAGCUGCAAGGAAAGUGGCAAAGUAGAAGGUAUUUGAGAAUGUCUGCUGGGUUAGCCAAAACAAUAGUGACUUCUACACCCAAUUUUCUGGGCACUGCAGAAGUAUCCUUGAGUCCUAUGUGAUCAGAGGGAGAGCAAACCUCAAUAAUGAAACAGAUUCAAUUUCCAUCACCCAGUGAGACACCAUGGGAUUAGAAUAAAUUUUUAAAAAAACAAAUUGAAAAAAAUGCAUUUUUAAAACAACAAAAUCAGAAAGGAUGAAAGGUGAUAUUUCUAGCAUAUCAGUUUGUGGUGGUAAAUUAAUUACCUUAUACAAAGGCCUCAGUGACUUUCUUCUCCUUACCUAACGAAUCAUCUUUAAAAUAAGUAAAAUAAAGAAACAAGAGCAGCAGCAGAUGCUUCCUAAAAAGAAGUUACCAAAUCUGUUCACCACAAACCUGAGAAUUCAACUGUGGACAUUUGGACACCAGCAAUGAACAUGAAACUCAGCUUAUGAGGCAUAUUUGGCUAAAGGUCAAGGUGACUUAAAGUUCAUCAUAGGACAUCUACAAUUUGCAAAGCAGGUGACUGGAUAUGGACUCCUUCCAAGUCUCAUUUAAUUGGAUAAUGCCUACGUUUUAAGUAUCAGAAGUGAGUCUUUCUCUAUUAAAUGAAGUCAGUUCCACUAAAACCUAAAUCUUGUUUGGCAGGCACUCCAUGUUUCUUAAUUUUUAUUCCAUGCUGUAUAUUCUUUUAGACUUGAUUUUCACUUUUUUUUCUUUUUUCCUGUACAUUUAUCUUUGCUGUGAAACAAAGUGCCCUGCUUUGAAGGACAGGUUUGUGGGCUGCUGGUGGUGAGACAACAGCAGUCCUUCCAAGUCUUCCUCCCAUCACUCUGUUAGCUCUCCCUUUGUUUUUAAUUAGCAUUACACCAGUUAAUUCUGUUAUCUCUUAACCCUGGUUCUGCAUCCUCUUCUUCUUUUCUAUUCCUUACUCCGCUCCUGUUUUUUCUUGUUCUGCUUUUCCAAGAAAUGUCUUGUCUCCUCAUCAGUUGACUGUCUUCUCUUUCCAGAGGGACCAUAAAGGUGCCAGCCUAAGGAACACGUAAAACGUGGGAACAGACAAACAAGCUGCUGCCUAUUACAGAGAUAGAUAAUUAACUUUGGACCAUUACAUGCAAUUCAUCAGCUUAUCUUUUUCAAACUUUAUAUAAGAAGUCAUUUCCCAAUGGUAACCACUUGCCAGCUGCAACUUUGACGCAUAUUAUCAGGAUAGGUGAGAUUGAUGGGGGCCCUUUGAACUCUUCCCAGGGAAUUAUCUUUAUAAUGUUACAGUUUUCUCUAUAGCAUGGUCAUAUUGUUAACAUUGGUUAUAAGGUCAUAUGGUUAGUAUGGUUAGUAUUGGUGGCUCACAGCUGUAAUACCAGCACUUUGGGAGGCCAAGGUGGGAGGAUCACUUGAGCCCUGGUGUUCAAAACCAGCUCUGGAAACAUAGCAAGACCUUGUCUCUACAAAAAAAAAUUAAAUAAAUUAAAAGAUUAGCUGGGCAUGGUGGCACAUGCCUGUAGUCCUCACUACUUGGGAAACUAAGGUGGGAGGAUCCUUUGAGCUUGGGAGGUUGAGGCUGCAGUGAGCUGUGGUUGUGCCAUGGCACUCCAGCCUGGGUGACAGAGUGAGAGCCUGUCUCAAAAAAAAAAAAAAAAAAAAAAAAAAGUACCUGUAAGGUCUUUGGGAUUUUGAAGAUGAAAGGUGUUGCAUAAAUUGAAUGAAUUCACUUAGAGAGAUAGAAGGCAACUACAGGGAAUAUUACGUACAUCAUGGAGCGGAAAGCACUAAGGCCUGUGGAAUUAUUCUCAGUGACACGUCGUUGAGGGCAGUGGUCCACAUGUUUUGAACAUGGUUUCUCCCAGGUGAAAAGGAUGAGUAAUUUGUUCUCCUUCACAUGUGUGUAUGUAGGUCUUAUACACAGCAGAUUUGCCACAAAACAAAUGAAGAUUACACUUUGGGCCCCUCUCUCACAUGAGCCCCUUCCAAAGUUCUGUUUGCUAAUUUUACAUUUUGUAAUUUCUUAUUAUUUUUCUUAAAGAAGCCUCCUCCAAUUGCAUAAACUUCAAGCCUCACAAAAUUUGGAUCCAUACCUGAGCCAACAUACAAUACAAUUUUCCAUUUCUAACUUUUAGUUGUACCUAGUGUUUUAUUGGAAAUGAUCAAGUACAUGAGUGGUGUCUUUUUAAAAAAUUUACUUUAUUUGCUUCUCUAGCUUCAUCGUUAGUUAGGCAGUUAAAUCUAACCAUUUGGAGGUAUUUUCAUAUAACCUCCAUUGAGGACAAUUUGGCAAUAGCUUUUAAAAUUAUAAAUAUAUUUGUACAGUUAUAAGCUGCCAUAUCUAUAAAACUAUUUGAUAGACAAAAGUUGAAAACCCUCCAAGAGCUCAUCAAUAAAAGAUUAAAUUAAUUAUGAUACAUCCAUAUGAGCACUGAGCAGCUGUGAAAAAAAUGAGGAAGUAAUUCCUGUGCUGAUAUGGGAAGACUUCCAAGACAUGUUGUUAAGUACAGAAUGGUGUAUACAGUAUGCUAUAUAGUGUGGUAAAAGGUUUAGGGAUAAGCAUUUAUAUUUAUAACUGUUUAUAUUUACAUAAAGUAAUUCUGAAAGGAUACAAAAAAGCUAACAAAAGAGAUUACCUGUGGUAGUGUGGGGCUUGGGGAUUGGAUGGGUGAGAAACAGUAGUGGAAAUGAGAUAUUGUACAGUUUAAGGCAUUAUACACCUAUAAAAACAUGGGAAUGUAUUACCUACUCAAAAAGUGAAAUUAAGAGAGAUACAAGAAACUGUUUGGAUGUUCCUUCCCGUUUCAAUGUAUCUAUAUUUUUUCAGCCCUCAAAGUUAUUAUAAAUGUCAUUAUAAUAACUUCAUAAAGCUUCCCCUAUAAUGAGAAUCUUACCAUUCUCCUAACUCCAAUAGCACUGUAAUCCACCUCUGUUAGGACACAUCACUCUUCAUCAUGUGUGAUUAUUAUUUGCAGAUAUCAUCUUCAAGGCUCUUCUCUAUUUACCACCUGCCAUUCUUGUUCUCACCUCUACAUGACCUUCACAUUUUAUUUCUCUCGGUUUUUUGGACAAGCUACAUUCCCUUCCACAGAGAAGGCUUCCCUGACCCCUUUCACUUGGUUGGAUUACCUUGCUAUUCUUUUCUAUCUUUGUACAUUCCUUUUCAAAAUACUUAUCUCCCUUGUUGUUACCUAUAAUGUCUGUCUUCUUUACUCAAGAGUCUAGACAAAAAGCUCCACGCCAGCCUCGGCUGUGUUUGUAUUGUUUACGUCUGUGUUCCUAGUGCUUAAUAAAAUACCUAGCAAGGGUUAAUAAGUACUUGUUGACUGGAAGGGAAUGACUUCCUUCCCUUACUAGAGAGUGAUUUCCUUACAGGCGAGAUGUGUCAACCUUCUAUAGCCCACAUAAAAUAAAGGACAAUAUCUCCUAUUGGAUAAAAGACAAAAAAAAAAAAAAAA